rnacentral:tRNA from 1 species
CAAAAAAUAAUUUAUUUAGAAUAUUAAUUUUGGAGAUUAAAAGUAUAAUUUUUUUAUUUUUUUGA